AUCACCUGCAUCAGGAAUCCAUUUAGAUGGUACCUACUCUACAAAAGGAAAAUUGAUAGCAUCUACAUGACAAAUCUGAAGAGAACCUGGGAGAAGCUUCUGCGGGGAGGCAACAUUGUUGCCAUUGAAACCCCAGCUGAUGUCAGGGUCAUAUGCUUUAGGGAUACUGGUUGGUGAGCUGUGCUGCAUUUGGCUGCUGCCCUGUGGCCGCUCCUAUUGCUGGAACCUUCUCUAGCUCGAUCUAGGCAGUUCACUUCUGGAACCUUCAGUACCCUCAUCCAGGGAGCCUUCAGAGAGCCGAGACUUCCGGUGGUUACUGAUCCCAGGGCUGACCACUAGCCUCUCCUAAAUUAACCAGCCUGUCAUUGCUCUGUGUGAUACAAACUCUCCUCUGCGCUGCGUGGUCAUUGCCAUUGCCACCCCCUGCAACUUGUUAGCAAAGGAAGCUCACUCAGUGGCCUUGAUGAGGGGCAGCCGGGCAGGGAGUUUCUGCACCUGCGUGCUCCAGAUCUCGCGGGAACACCGACGGGAGAUCACACCUGAUCCCUAUUUCUGCAGACGUCUUGGGGAGAUUGAGAAGCAAGAACCAGCUGCUGCUGCAAAGACUGUGACCGAGGAGGAAGGUCGGGUGGGUGGACUGCUCCAGUUCCCGAGGUUCCUGCUGCUCAACCUUAGGUUGCAGACUGGCCUGAAGGCCUACAACUUUGGUGAUGAGAAGAUCUUCUAGGAGCCCAUGGUGUUCUUCACAGGACUAAAAACCACACGGCCCAGUGAGGAUCCUACAGGACCUGGAGAAAGCCACAGGAGCUGUGGACUCGCUGGUGCCUCACAGUACCCUGUGGGACUUGAGAGAAGAUCCCCUGCUGUUCCCUUCAGAGCCCUCCAGUAGCUCAUCUGUUUCAAAGGACUCUAUUUCUCAUAUCUUCAGGAAGAGUCAACCUGUCUGCAGUUAAUGGAAAUAAAGUUUCAAGCAACUUUAGAGAAAAAAGCAGAGCCAGAUCAAAAACUUAAAUUCCAAUUAUGUCAAAGGAAUGGAAGAGUUUUAUUUUUUUUUAUGAAUAGUAGUUUACAGAUGCAAAGAUAUCGAAACACCAUUUGAAUAAGCUUGUUUUCCCUCUGUACAAGGUGUCCUAAGAGUACUAAGAAAUCACUUUGAUCACAAUUGAUGAUUCCCAGUGAUGGCCAACAGUGAGCCACCCUAGCAAACUUUGAUAAUUCAAAUGCAAGAAAAUAUCUCAGGAAGAUGGAAGUACAGAUUAUUGUGGAAACCACAUCAGACAGAAACAGAUUGGUGGUGAGUAUUGAACAUUUUUAUUAUAAAAUUAUGAACAAAGAAAAGCUGACCUAAAAUGACAAAAUAUUAUAUUUAUUAUAUAAGUAUUAUAUUCUCUAAUAAUGAUGAAAUGGCCCAACUAACAAAAACUGGAAAAAGAAUUAUUACAAAAUGAGCCAAUUUAUUGCCUCAUAGAUUACAUCUUAAAGUAAAAACAUAUUGCUAGCGUUGACACAUUAAAUAACAGCCUAAGCAUACAGCCUACGAACACAAGGAUAUAUGCCCCAAAAAGAUAACACUAUUGACUAAAAUAGUAUAAUGGGAGAGAAGAAGAGAAGGAGAAGGACAAGAAAUUUUCUUUUUAUUCAUAAAAGAAAUAACUACAUACGUAUUAUAUACAUAAAUGUAUAUACACAUACAUAUGUACGUGUAUACAUGUACAUAUACGUAUAUAUACAUAUGUACAUAAAAUACUAUUAGAUUUUUCUUAAAAUUUUUAAAGUAUUUUACCUCAAAUUAUUUAGACUGGCAGGUACAAAGUUGCAGAUGGAGAAAUCGUUUAUAUGAUAUGAAGUACCAAAUUCGUUUUGUUACUUAAAAUUUAUUUCCCAUUUUCCCUCAGCGUUUUCAAAUGGCAAAUGCCUUUUCUGGGAAAGUAUCCAGGUUUACAUGGAUUUUAUUUCUUUGGCCAAUGAUUUCAGCCUUUUAUGAUGCAAAGUCUAAAUAUGUUUUUCAGUGACAUUUCAAAAACUUGUAUGCAGCUUAGCCUUUGAAAAUUUGACAUGUUCUCUUACGCACUCUCUUUGCCCAGAAGAGGGCAUUAGAUAGAAGCGUAUUUUAUCUUCAGAAUCUUCAUAUUAAACUGAGGCUUUAGGGUGUGUUUAAAAACCUAAAAUUGAAUUCAUCGUCUCAGUCUUAACUGUCCCAAACCGA